AGUGAGGCUCAGCAUGGGGCACAGAGAGGAACAGUCACCCCUCCUCUCCCAGCAGCCUGCCCAGGGCACCUGCACCCUGCAUUCUAAGAGGGACACAAGGCGCUGCUGGCGGUGUGUCUGCAGGACCCACAAGAAUGCCUGCUGGUGACGUUUCAGCAGGACUCUCCAGCAACCCCACUCCUGAGCACGUGACGAACAUAAGCCAUCUUCAUAUGCCACCAGAAGACGAGCCUCGGGAGCAGUUUUAGUUCUAAGAGCUCCAAGCUGAAAGCCGACUGCCUGUCAUCCUUGACCACCUGUCCACAAGGAAGAAGGGGUACAUUUUCCUAGAUUCACACAACUGAAUGCUACACACCCGUGAAAAAGAACAAGUUACAGGUCCAGGCAACAAUGAGGAUGAACCUCACAAACAUAACAUGAAGCAGAAGGAGGCAGACAUGAAAGAGUACAGACUGCAGCAUUCCACUCAUAGGAAGUCCAAGCAUGGGCAACGAAUCCAUGCGGCUAGAGGCUACAAGAAUUCUCCAAAGCAUUAUCUAAGUCCUGGAAGAGCAAUUACAGUUUUGGUACCAAAAGUAGGAGCGACCAGCCAGGCUCUCCCCCACAGACAACAGCACCUGCCCACGGCCAGCCUCCUGCGAUGAGUCACAGGUGCCACGUGAAAUGCAUUAUACACACUCAGGGACAGACACGCAAAUGCUCCACUCAUGAAGGAUACAGAAAUAGAUGGAGGAGCUUCUUGGUCAUUGUUUACUUCUCAAAAAUGGAAUCAUUCUAUACAUCCUUAUGCACAUGUUAACUUCUUACUCAAAGUACCUCCUGGAAAUGUUUCUGAGUCAACUGGUUUGCCUGUGAUGAAUUCUUUUAGGGACCUGCACAUUUCAUAAUACGGACUUGUGAUAAUUUAUUCAAACUUUUACCUACUUAUUAGGUUCCCUUGAUAUCCAGCAUUGUUUUUUUUUCCUUUUUGCUUUUUUUGGUCACUACAAAGCUGCCAUAAAGAUGCUUAUGAAGAUAUUCCUAAGUAAGGUGCUUUUAUUUUUAGGGUGAAAUUCCCAGAAGUAUGUCUGAAGGCUGUAGUGUUUUUUAUUUCACUGGGUGUCACCAAAAGGCGCUAACGCUUGACAUCCCAUCAAGAACGCAUGAAAACUCCUCUCCCCUCACGACCAGUGAAUAGCGCUUACUGCCCUGGGCAAUGCUGUGCCAGCCACUGAGCACAGUGUUGCCUUAAUUUGCAUAUGGAAUACCGGCAGACUCGAACACCAUUCACAUAUUUCCUGGCGAUCUGAAUUCCGUGUCUGUAAACUGCUUGUUCAUCCCCCUUGCCCGUUGUUUCUUUGGGUUUCCUAACUUCACACUCACUCCUACGAUAAACAUAAUUUUCUUCUUGGAUUUGUACUUUUUGUAUUUUACAUUCAUGUCUUUAAUCCAUUUAUUUUAUUUUACUUUUUUGAGAUGGAGUCUCACUCAUGUCACCCAGGCUGGAGUGCGGUGGUGUGGUCUCGGCUCACUGCAACAUUCGCCUCCCAGGUUCAAGCGAUUCUCAUGCGUCAGUCUCCCAAGUAGCUGGGAUUACAGGUGCCCGCCACCAUGCCCAGCUCACUUUUGUACAUUUAGUAGAGAUGGUCAGGCUGGUCUCGAACUGCUGACCUCAGGUAAUCCACCUGCCUCGGCCUCCCAAAGUGCUGGGAUUACAGGUGUGAGCCACAGUGCCCGGGCCAUUUGUUUUUAUAAAAUAGGGAUUCAACAUUUAUUUCUUCCUGACGAAUAACCAGUUGUGCCGACACCAUUUAUUAAAUUUAUUAAAUAAGCUCUGUCAAAUAUUCCAUAUUUUCUAAUCUAUUCUACUGACUUUUUUGUCUAUUCUCAUGUAAUAUCAUAAUUUGAUUAUGGUAUUAAAAUAUGUUAAUCUUUUGCAUAUUUUCAUAUCAUAAAAUGUUAUCUUUACACUUUUCUUGAUAAUUCCUGGACAUUCUUUCAUACAAACUUUAAGAUUAUUUUAUUCAAUUAAAAAAAACCCUGCUAAGAUUUUCACUGGAGUUGCAUUUUAUUUAAAUAUUAACACUGGGAGAAUUGGAACUUUCCAAAUAACAAGUUUCCCACCCAUAGUACAUACUUCCAGCUUUUCAGACUUUGUUUUCUGUCUGCCACUGAGGAUUAUUUUAUUUCAUUUUUUUUUAGAUGGAGUUUCACUUUGUCGCCCAGGCUGGAGGGCAAUGGUGCGCUCUCGGCUCACUGCAAACUUCGCCUCCCGGAUUCAAGCUAUUCUCCUGCCUCAGCCUCCCCAGUAGCUGGGAUUACAGGCGCCUGUCACCAUGCCUGGUUAAUUUUUUUUGUAUUUUUAGUAUAGAUAGGGUUUCACUAUGUUGGCCAGUUUGGUCUUGAACUCCUGACCUCAGGUGAUCCGCCCACCUCGGCCUCCCAAAGUGCUGGGAUUACAGGCGUGAGCCACUGCGCCUAGCCAGUUUUCUCCUUUUAAGUCCUGUGUGUCCAGAGAGGGGUGGGCACACUCACAUUCAAAUCAAUGCUGCCAUCCCCCUGGCUCCAGGGACCCCUGCAGUUUAAGCUUCUCCGGGAAGCCUCUGCUUUCAGGUUUCUUUUCUGGCCCAGUCCAGGUGAAAAGAGCUCGCACUAAGAUCUCUGCUGGGAGUCAGACUCACCUGUCUACCAGCUUGGGCAGACGCUUGCCUUGAGUCCUGAGGCUAGGCCACAGCUGGAGCAGCAGAUAGAAGGGACAGGGUUGCACUUAUAACACCACUAUCCUCCCAGCCCUGGUUUUAUCAUCAUCAUCGAGAAAAAUACAAUUAAUCAGCAGUGAUCAAAGUCUAGUAGAACACCUGCUUAACAACUUCCUGCCCACCCAUCACUCAGACAAAAAUGCAGCGUUCCAAGAACAAUGGAGAGCCACCUCCGCAGCCAGACCUAGGGUUGGAUCGCACGAAGAGCUGGAAUUUGGGGAACCACUUAAGACUGGAUACAUUUGGAAGGAACAGUCACACAAGAUAAAAUAAAUAUUUAGCUAAGCUUUCAAAUUCUGGAAAUGUCAACUAAUAAAACUAAAAGUCUACUACCUCUGAAAGUAUAAAUCCAAAAAACAUUUAAAAGACUUUAAUUUUAGCAAAGGGAAACCGAAAAGCCAAAGCAGCAGAAUAACUUGUUUCUACAUAAUCUGUUUCCCCAUGUACCUGCUACCAUCCCCAUCCUCUGCCCCACAAGCUUUUCAAGUGACGAACUCCUCACAGAGACGACAGGCAGUGCUUUCCAUGAUUCUUACCUUAACUAUGCUGAUAGGCUUUCGAGAUAAGUGAAAACUUGCAUACAGCAGAAAUGUCAAAAUAAAAAUGAAGGCUCUGUACCUGAAACACAAAACAGUGGGAGAGGAUGAUAUGAAAUAACAGAAGUUAUGUUAGGAAUACAUAUCACUGUGUUCUGAAACGUUCUUAUGCUGUGUAUUAUUCAUUCAGUUCUACAGCCAUUAUCAAUAUUACUUAUGUCACUAUAAUAUUGGAACAUUAAAAAAUAUUGCCACGUUUGCUUUGUCCAAAUGGAAACUGAACACUGUAAGAGACAGGAAAAACCAGACUGCUUUUCCUACCCUCAUGCACAACACACAACAUACCAUACUUCUAACACUACGUGUGUAGGGGUUUUCCCCAUAUACCAAGCAAUUCUCCAGCUGACACUGGAUGUCCUCUAAGUGAAUUCAAUUCUCACACUGUCUUCCAGGAGUCAGCAUCAGCCCCCACAGGGCGGGGCUCCGGCCGAGGCUGCCCCGCUUCACAUGCCAAUGGCAACAAGCCCCAGGUUGUGACCUGCUCCUCUGACCAACUGGCUCUCAGGGUGGUUCCCAAGAACCCCUUCUCAGGUUCGAUUAAUUUGCCAGAGCAGCUCGUAGAACUCAGGGAAACACAUUUACUGCUUUAUUAUAAACGAUGUUACAAAGAAUACAUACAGAUGAAGAGAUGCACAGGGCGAGGUAUGGGGCAGGGAGCUCGGAGCUGCUGUGCCCUCGCCAGGGCUCCACCCUCCGGGAACCUCCCCGUGCUCAGCAGCCUGCAAGCCCCCAAACGCUGUCGUUGAGGGAGUCUGUGGAGGCCUCAUUACACAGGCACGAUCGAGCAGAACACCGGCCACUGGUGAUCCACUCCACCUCUGCGGGCUCCCUCCCCUCCCCAGAGGUCCACGGGUGGAGUCCCAACCUCUAAUCACGUGGUCGGUUGCCCUGGCAACCAGUCCCCCAGGAGGUUGUCCUGGGGCCCGCCACAGUCACCUCAUUAGCAAACAAAAAGACACUCAGCACUAAAGGUUGUAGGAGCUGUGUGCCCAGAACCAGGGCCAGAGACCAAAAGCAUGUUUCUUAUUAUUACGUCACAAUAUCAAAAGCAUUCAUCUAUUUAAAGAAACCGUAACCAAAGGGAAACCUGGGACUCGAGAUGCACACUUGAGUUUACAAAGCAGAACAAGCACGAUGAAAUGUUUAGUUUACAACAAAACUAACCACAAGUUUCUGGCGUAGCCUGCUAUCCUGGGCAAUUAAGAUCAUAUUUAUUUUUGGCUCUUUGGUUUCUAUGCAACUUUUCAGAAGCACACAAGCAAGGCAGACAUAUAAAUAUUUCACGGCCCUCAAAGAGAAAAAGGCAGUGACGCUGGCAGGCUCUCAAUAGGCCAGUGACAGAAACACUGGUACAAAGCCCCUCGCUCAGUUUGGCUGGGAGAAAAGCAGCCGAAAGAGUCAGCAUGAGUGUGAGGAAGAAAGAAGAAAAGAAGGUGCCUUAGAAAGAAGACAAAGGGCAACUCCAGUCUAAGAGUCUCAACCACCGCAUAGAAAAAUACUUUUUGGGGCAACAAAAUGGGUUGGGAGAAAGAAGUAUUUGACAGGAGUGGAAGGCGAGGGGCAGCUCUUCUGUGUCCUAGGCACAUCUCCCUACCCUGGAGAACCUGUCCUGCUUGUGGCCUGGGAAGAGACUUCAAAUGGCGCCACCAACAACCUGAAUCAAUAAUUACCUAAGGCGGCGUCCUACACAGGACAAAGAAAGGCAGCGUUUCCGAGAGUCCCUGGGAUAAGGGGUUGCUUCUCCCAGCUGCGCAUCUACAUUUUUAAUGUUGUGAUUUACUCCGAGGGAAGCUUUCCACAAGUAACUAAAAUCCUAGGAUCCCAGAGCUGCCUUCUUCUCUGGUCACCAGCUAAAGUAGGGGUCAAAUAAAUAUUUCCAGAUUUUUCUUAAAAAAAAAAAGGCCAUAUUUCAGGUGGGAAAGAAAGGUUGGUGGCUCCGUGUGACACAAAACUACAACCUUUGGAAUGCCUGUGCCUUUGGGGAAGGAACCAAACCAAACCAACUCGCAGAAUACCUGCUGACUGAAGACAGAAAUUCCCCAGUGCUCUCUUCUUCAUCAGGGAACUAUCUUCCAAUGGCCUUUCUCCAAUUCUUCCUCUCCAAGCCCAUGGCAAGGGCCAAAUGGGAAAAAAGCGAAACCCUAAAAGGCGAGCCUAUCAUUUAUCCCAAAGCCCAAAGAACAAAGGCUAUGUGGGUACAGUGGAUUUGCUCCAGAAGCCCCGGCCUCUGUCCUCGUGUUUCUGAAAACCAUCCUUUCUGGCAAGGAAAGAAAGUCUCAGCGCUUUGGAUGAAGCUCUCUGUUAGGCCACCACUGCUUCUCACGCCUUCGACUGCUGGUGCAGGAAGAUUCCAGGCCACUGGGCUUCACCGGCCCUCAAUGCUCACUUGUCCAGCCCACAGCUUGACAAACUGGUCACUUCCACCCCACCUGCUGGAGCUGACUAGGGCAAGUAAGGCUGAUGGGUGACCCUGAUCGGCCCUCACUGGAGUACAGGGUUUCCUUCUCCAAUCUCCUCAAAACAGGUGAACAAAGUUCUCAGGCCAAGUUGCCUCCAGCACCUCCCCAGUCUCAGACAAGUCCAUGGACCAUCUCUCCUGCUCCAUGCAGGAGGAUUCUCCAACCACAGUGCCAGUUCUACAGGUGUUAUCACCCAGCUAGGAAGGAUUUUGAGAAGAGCAGCUCUGUCCUAUGGGCUGUGGGUUCACAUCUCCACUCUCCACCCAGACAGCCCAGAAGGAAGGCUGUCUCCCUUUGUCGGGCUGAGGUCUGAAGAGUGCUGAGGCCCCGACACACACCGCGUUCCCAAUGGUCAGGGCUGCUUGGGUGAUCAGGCCCUGGUGAUGCGUUCUGGGCUCCUGCCUUCCUCUGCGGGGUGACUCCCGGCUGGUGCUCACAGCACACGCCUAGAGAUGCCCUGAGAACACUGAGGAGCACACAAGGGGCAGCACAUGCCUCUGGAACCUUUAGUUCAGCCUUGUGUGGAGGGAGACACCUUAAUGAAUGAGACCCUUUGGGAAGAGUCACUGCCACGGUGUAGCCAGGCUGACAGAAGCCGUCCUGUAGAAUUGGGUGAAGGGUCCAUUUACACAGCAAACUGGAAUGUUCCUAAAGACUGAAGAGGAAAACGCUGUAUUUAUUUAGCUGGUGUCAGGCCAACUCUACUUCUAUUUCCAAAUUCGUCUUUCCUCUCUCAUUUCUUCAUCUUCUGUACUUAGGACUUGGGGCUUGGGGAUGGGGGACGCAGUGGCUGGAGGCUAGACUUUCCUCUUUGAAAGGUCUGACUUCAGCUCCCGUGACUAUUGCUAAACCGCGGCAGCCACACUCGGGCCGCUGCCUUGCUGGUUGUCACCCCGAUACGCCUGGCCUCUGGGUAGGCAGACGCUUCACUCUGCAGCAUGGAUGGGCUCAAACCCCCAGAAGCCAAACAGCCCUCCCGAAGUCCUUUCUUAUUUCGUAAUUCUAUCUACGUUUUCUUUAUCAUUUAUAAAGCAGAUGUUUUGGAUGAUAUGUUUCCUUUUGUUCAUUUUGUACUGGGUUGAAUAUCAUCCCCCAUAAUUUCAUGUCCACCCAAAACCUCAGAACGUGACCUUAUUUGGAAAUAGGGUCAUGUAGACAUGAUUAGCUCAGGUGAGGUCAUAUUAGAUAGAGUGAGCCCUCAUUCCAAUGACUGGCGUCCUCACCAGAAGGCCACGCAAAGACUCAGAGACAGGAAGGGAGGCCACGUGGCCACACAGGCAGAGACUGGUGUGAUGCAGCCACCAGCCAAGAACGGCGGCAGCAGCAGGAGCUGGAAGAGGCAAGGAAGGGUCUGUCCCCGGAGCCUGCAGAGGAAGUGUGGCCCUGCUGACACUUUGACUUUGGACUUCUGACCUCCAGGGAUGUGAGAGGGUAAAUUCCUGUUGUUUCAAGACACCCAGCUUGUGGUACCAUGUUACAGCAGCCCCAGGAGGCUAAUAUAAUCCUUUCAUUUUUGUUUUGUGUUAUGUUUAGACUUAUGAAUAUAAAACAAAUACAAUAAAAAAAUAAAUGAUCUAAUCUAUCUGCUCCUCAGUGUUCUGCUUACUUUUUGCAGUUAUGACUACUUAUAGCAUGCUUGGCUUCCACCAAUAUGAAAAAUCCCACAUUUCUAGCAAAAAAGCAGGUCUCAGCAAUGACAGCACCAGAUGGGGGUGCCCCUCUGGGCCUCCUCAGAGAUGUUCUGGAAGACCACGUGUUCUCAGGUGAAUGGCAGCCUGCUUAGGGUGAGAGGCUCCAUGCAAAAUAUCUGUCUCCUUGUUUGACUGUUAUUACCUCAAUCACAUGCAAAUAAGGAAUAAAGAAACACUUUUGAGAAUUACUGAGUGAUAUGAUUUGGUGCAGAAAUUAGUCCAAAGACAUCCUCUGCUUCACUCUGCAGCAUGGAUGGGCUCAAACCCCCAGAAGCCAAACAGCCCUCCCAAAAUCCUUUUUUAUUUUGUAAUUCUGUCUAUGUUUUCUGAGACAGAGAAGCGAUGCCAUGUCCUGUUCAGAGUAUCCCGUCAGAAGGUGCAGGAGGGCAGUGACACUGACGUUGGUCAUUGGUUAAAGUGCUGUCUGCCUCAUAGUUCCUCAGUGAAACCACUACGUUUCCCUCUAAGUAAUGAAUAUGGAAUUUCUGGGAACCUGCUUUGAGAUAAUGUAGAUAUCCUGUUCCUCAAGCUGCCGCCCCACGGGGUGCAUCCAUGGCGUUCUGUGCCUGCGCUGGGUACCCUGCAGCGGCUCCACAUCCCCGCUCCACCUAGCGGCCAGCUUCCACUGUACGGCGAGCGUGCAUUUCUCCUACUUCUUUAGUUAUAUCAGUAGGACUCGCCGAAUCUUACGCUAUUCAAUGGGCUAUCAUUCAUGAGUCUCAUUUAUUGUAAAUCUCAGAUUGUCCUAGAUUUGACAAGUCAGAGUCCCUUUGUUUGUAAGUACUUCCUUAUUUUCUGGCACAAGAUGUUCUGGGCUCAUCUAUUCCUUGCCCUGCCCCAGUCCUGGCAUUGGCCAGGUCUCCAAGGACUCCUGGCUCCUUUUAGUGGGAGAUGCCAUGCAGAAACCAAGAUCCCGGACCAAAGUGUGCUCACUUUAGUGCUCUUACUGUUCCCAGGACCUCCUAGCGGGGUGCAUUUUACACACACACACCCACACACACGCACACACACACCCUUCUCUAUUUCUAUAUCGACCAUCACCAGUUUAUCCCGAGAACUUUCAUUCCAAUCCAACCUCACUCAGUUCCUUCCAGUUCCCCUCCCUCUUCCCAUGCCUAUAGCUCCUUCUCCAUUAAAGAGAAAGCUGCCUCAUUUCUAUGGGAUUUCUGUCAAAAAUGCAUAAUCUGAAUCUAAUCAUGAGGAUGAGGAAAUAACAAAGUUAAAAUGUGGCACAUUCUAUAAAAUAAGUGGCUUGAACUCUUCAAACACAACAAGGCCAUUGUCUCAGAAGAAGAAGGAAAAAAAGCCAAGGUCAGAAAAGAUGAAAAAAGGCCGAGGAACAGUGCUAGAUGAAGAGACGAGACCCAUAGGAUAAUUAAACGCAAUGUAUGAACCCGAACUAGAUCCUGAACAGAAGAAGAAAUGCUAUCACAGAUAUUUGACAUUUGAUAUUGUUUUUAACAUGGACUGUGGGUUAGAUAACAGUAUCUUAUCGGUGUUAAAUUUCCUGAUUUUGAUCUUUUUGCUGUGGUUUUAUAAGAGAAUGUCUUAUUCAUAGGAAAUACACACGGAAGUAUUUACAAAUAAGAGGGUAUGAUGUCUGCAACUUACUCUCAAGUGGUUCAGAAAAGUGUGUGUGUACAAACAUACAUCUACACACAUGCACACACACACACACACACAAACACACUGUGGAGGGGCAGGGAGAGAAGCAGAUGAGGCUAAAUGUUAAUCUUUGACAUACAGCGGUUCUACAGGAACAUUCUUACAGAUGUUAGUAAGUUACGUGAGUUUGAAAUUAUAUCAAAAUAAACUUACAAAAUGAAGAAGCUAGACAUUCACUAAAUAAAACCUAAGUGUUCAGGCACUUGUGGCUAGACUCACAGCAGACAUGAAAUAAGUCAAGAAGAGAAGCAAUCUGGUUGAAGAACACAGAUGCCCUCAAAUCAAACCUGAGACACCCUGUGGAUGCUCCACCAACCAGCAGGGCUGAGAAGCUGCACAGGGCUGGGGGCUGCCAGGGGGUUGGCGUGGAGGAGAUGAAUGGGCCCAGAAUCUGCCGCUGUGGCAUCAAAAUCAUUUUGAGCAGAAGGCAUUUGCGUUCCUGAAUUCUCUUAGCUACUGAAAAGCAGAGUUCCCCAAAAGAAGUCAAAAGAAUCCAUCUGCUAUAAAUCCUGUCCCUUAGGAGGGGCCAGGGAAACAGGACUCUUACCACUGGAGAUGAGAAGCCUCCACACUGCACUGAAACAGGAAUGAUCACAAAACUACCACAUCGCCCAUCUGUUCUCUGUUCUCUUGAGGGCCCACUUGUCUUUCCAAAAAGCCAUUCGUUUGCCCACAGGUACCUUUCUCUCACUCCCCUUCCCCUGUGAAGGACGGACGGUGCAUAAGCCCAGAAUUCUAAAUGCCCCUUUGAGGGACACUUUUCUAUGACCUCUCGUACAUAAGUGGUGAAAUCUGUCUUUUCUCUUGCUAGUCUGUCUUUUGUCAGUUUAAUUCCCAGGUCCCCCAAAACAGAACCUACGAGGGUAGAAGCAAAGUUUUUCCUCUCCCAGAAGAGGUCAGCAGGACAAGUUAGAGGCCAGGGAGCCCAGCUUCAGACUCUGGGCUUGUCAACUGUUUCCUUCAAGGAGAAUGGAAUUAAUGAGGCCACCUAAGAGAAGGAUUCUCAGAAUAUGCAAGGCGAGGCACUCUCUGAACGGAAAGCAGCAUUCUGGGCUGCACCAGAACAUUUCAUUUUCUCUCUGAAAGUUCUGCCCCGGCAAGGCCACUCAUCUGAUCUCAGAGUUGUGUAACUUAUAUAUAAGUUAUGUGCUUAUUUCACCACAGCCAUUUGCUAACCCUGCUGGUAGUCAGUGGUCAUUUUUCUGUAGGGACCAUGGUUCUUAGAGAAACCACUGGAGACCACGCGGGAGCCCAAACACUAUCUGACAAUGCCAGUACCAAGGACAAAGGACACCUCAGCACUGUUCUGGGUCACGGCUUCCACCACCAAAAAGCAAUUCAACGGUUAUGGGUGAGGUCAGUGAUUCAAGUUUUAUGUGUUUUAUAAUGAAACUGGGGCAACACAACUACCUGCACAGUAGCCCUCACCUAUACACAGCUCCAUGCCAAGGGCCUGCCCCACCAGGACUCACCACUGAUCCCUGGAGAAUGAGAUGAUGAAGCGAAUGCCAGCGGGGAGUCGAGCCAUUUACGUCGCCACUGACCACUGAGCCUCGGUC
rnacentral:lncRNA from 1 species